AAAUAAAUAAAAACAUUAUAUGCUACAUACUGUUGAUGGAGUCAUUAGGUUCAACUGGACAAAACAUUAUGGUAAUGUAAGUCAAGUUCUUUUCUAUUCUCAGAUAUUUGGCAACCGCUCCCCUAUUCUCAACCAAUAGACUUAGAAAUGGAAGCUUUGCAGCAAACGGGAUCUGGCAGGGAAUGAAGAUUAAGAAAAGGGUUAAAUUUAUUUGAAUCCGAGCCCAAGUCUUUCUGGCUCCAAAAUUCAAGGCCUUUCACCAAAGAAACCCAAAAACCUGGCUGACUUGAACUGAAUGAAUCGUACCACCAGAUGGCCACAAGAAACUAAGGCAAGCACUGCUCACAUGUGA